GGCUGGUCUGAGAGCAGCAGUGCUCACAAUGAACGGAUCGCAACCAGUUACCGAUUCCUUCCUUCUUUCUCCACUCUCACCAGUUCACUUGACUGGCCUUAA
ensembl:misc_RNA Y_RNA Y RNA